rnacentral:rRNA from 1 species
GACGAACGCUGGCGGCGUGCCUAAUACAUGCAAGUUGAGCGCUGAAGGUUGGUACUUGUACCGACUGGAUGAGCAGCGAACGGGUGAGUAACGCGUGGGGAAUCUGCCUUUGAGCGGGGGACAACAUUUGGAAACGAAUGCUAAUACCGCAUAAAAACUUUAAACACAAGUUUUAAGUUUGAAAGAUGCAAUUGCAUCACUCAAAGAUGAUCCCGCGUUGUAUUAGCUAGGUGGUGAGGUAAAGGCUCACCAAGGCGAUGAUACAUAGCCGACCUGAGAGGGUGAUCGGCCACAUUGGGACUGGGACACGGCCCAAACUCCUACGGGAGGCAGCAGUAGGGAAUCUUCGGCAAUGGACGGAAGUCUGACCGAGCAACGCCGCGUGAGUGAAGAAGGUUUUCGGAUCGUAAAACUCUGUUGGUAGGGAAGAACGUUGGUGAGAGUGGAAAGCUCAUCAAGUGACGGUAACUACCCAGAAAGGGACGGCUAACUACGUG